rnacentral:rRNA from 1 species
GACGAACGCUGGCGGCAUGCCUAACACAUGCAAGUCGAGCGAGCAGAUCCCUUCGGGGUGAAGCUAGCGGCGGACGGGUGAGUAACACGUGGGCAACCUGCCUCAUAGAGGGGAAUAGCCUUCCGAAAGGAAGAUUAAUACCGCAUAAGAUUGUAGCUUCGCAUGGAGCAGCAAUUAAAGGAGCAAUCCGCUAUGGGAUGGGCCCGCGGCGCAUUAGCUAGUUGGUGAGGUAACGGCUCACCAAGGCGACGAUGCGUAGCCGACCUGAGAGGGUGAUCGGCCACAUUGGGACUGAGACACGGCCCAGACUCCUACGGGAGGCAGCAGCGGGGAAUAUUGCACAAUGGAGGAAACCCUGAUGCAGCAAUGCCGCGUGAGUGAUGACGGCCUUCGGGUUGUAAAGCUCUGUCUUCGGGGACGAUAAUGACGGUACCCGAGGAGGAAGCCACGGCUAACUACGUGCCAGCCGCCGCAGUAA